rnacentral:rRNA from 1 species
GAUUAACGCUAGCGGCAGGCCUAAUACAUGCAAGUCGAACGGCAGCGGGUGUAGCAAUACAUGCCGGCGAGUGGCGCACGGGUGCGUAACGCGUAUGCAAUCUACCUAUAACUGGGGAAUAGCCUUCCGAAAGGAAGAUUAAUACCGCAUAACAUCACGGAACGGCAUCGUUUUGUGAUCAAAACUCAGGUGGUUAUAGAUGAGCAUGCGUGACAUUAGCUAGUUGGUGAGGUAACGGCUCACCAAGGCGACGAUGUCUAGGGGGUCUGAGAGGAUGAUCCCCCAACUGGUACUGAGACACGGACCAGACUCCUACGGGAGGCAGCAGUAAGGAAUAUUGGACAAUGGCCGCAAGGCUGAUCCAGCCAUGCCGCGUGAAGGAUGGAAGGUGCUAUGCUAUUGUAAACUUUCUUUGUACCCGGAACUAAACCCCUGUAUUUCUAGUCGGGCUGAAUCGGUACGGAAGAAGUAAGGGACGUACUAACUUCGUACG